rnacentral:lncRNA from 1 species
AAGCUAAGAUUCCUCUAGAAGUUAUGUGGACGGAUAUUGAUUACAUGGACGGUUACAAAGAUUUCACUCUUGAUCCCAUUAAUUUUCCAGCUGAUAAGAUGAAGAAAUUUGUGGAUCAACUUCACAAGAAUGGUCAGAAGUACGUGGUUAUCGUAGAUCCUGGUAAGCUCUAAAUGAUCUUCCGAUAUAUUAAUGCAUCGCACACUGAUUUUUUUAUUUUUUAUUUAUUUUCUAAAUAAACUGCAGGCAUCAGUGUGAACGAGACAUAUCCUACAUACGUAAGAGGGAUGAAAGCUGAAAUCUUUAUAAAACGUGAUGGUGUUCCUUACCUCGGUAAAGUUUGGCCUGGAUUAACUUACUUCCCCGACUUUCUGAACCCGUCCAGCGAAUCCUUUUGGAGCAAUGAGAUAAGAAUAUUCCUCGACCUUCUCCCAGUUGAUGGGAUCUGGAUUGACAUGAACGAGCUGUCAAAUUUCAUUUCCUCGCCUGCAAAUCCAUCUUCUACAAUAGACGAUCCUCCCUAUAAGAUAAACAACUCGGGUUAUCAGCGUCCAAUCAAUGAGAAAACUGUUGCAGCAACAUCACUGCAUUUCGGAAAUGUCACAGAGUACAACAUUCACAAUCUCUACGGAUUUUUGGAAUCGAGAGCUACUAAUGCUGCUUUAGCUAAUGUAACUGGAAAAAGGCCAUUUGUGCUGAGUAGGUCUACUUUUGUGGGUUCUGGCAAAUACACUGCACACUGGACUGGUGAUAAUGCUGCAACAUGGAGUGACUUGGCUUACACAAUCCCAAGCAUCUUAAAUUUUGGACUGUUUGGUAUUCCGAUGGUUGGAGCCGAUAUAUGCGGUUUUUCAGGAAACACAACCGAAGAACUUUGUAGGCGAUGGAUUCAGGUAUAUGAGUAUAUAUGCAUAUAUAUAAAGUUUUUGCCACAAAAAAUGGUUGAAAUAGAAUAUAGUUAUCCAGACUUACCUUAAUUUGAUGCUAAGAAACUUGUUUUGUAGUUAGGAGCAUUUUAUCCCUUUGCUAGAGACCACUCUUCGAUCGGAACCAGUCGUCAAGAACUGUACAUCUGGAAGUCAGUUGCGGCAACAGCUAGGAAAGUGUUGGGAUUUCGUUACAGGCUAUUACCGUACUUUUACACGUUAAUGUACGAGGCGCACUCUAAAGGCAUACCUAUUGCACGACCUAUUUUCUUCUCAUUUCCCGACGAUACAAAGACUUACGAAAUCAGCUCCCAGUUUCUUCUUGGC